UACAGAGGGGGCAAGCGUUAUUCGGAAUUAUUGGGCGUAAAGGGCGCGUAGGCGGCUUGGCAAGUGGAUGGUGAAAUCCCUCAGCUUAACUGGGGAACUGCGUGUGAUACUGGAUGGCUUGGAUUUGGGAGAGGGAUGCGGAAUUCCAGGUGUAGCGGUGAAAUGCGUAGAUAUCUGGAGGAACACCGGUGGCGAAGGCGGGUUGCUGGGCUGAUACUGACGCUGAGGCGCGAAAGCCAGGGGAGCGAACGGG
rnacentral:rRNA from 1 species